AAUCUUGUGAAGGAAACCCUAGGAGGGGAUUGCCAUAUUGAAGACAGCAUGGUGUAGUGCAGGGGUCCUCAAACUUUUAAAGCAGAGGGCCGGUUCACAAUCCUUCAGACUGUGGAGGGGCCGAACUAUCAUUUGGAGGAAAAAAAAUGAACAAAUUCCUAUGCACACUGCACAUGUCUUAUUUGUAGUGCAAAACAACAACAACAAUGAAAACAAUUGUAACCAACAUAAACCUAUCAGGAUUUCAUAUCCUGAAAUAUGAAAUAUGUGGGCCUGCUUCUGGCCAAUGAGAUAGUCAAGUUCAUUAGGAUUGUUGUUGUUGUUGUGUGCCUUCAAGUCAUUUCAGACUUUGGGCGAGCCUAAGUCUAAAAUUAUUUAUUUAUUUAUUCAUUUACUACAUUUAUUUAUUACAUUUAUAUUCCACCCUUCUCACCCCGAAAGGGACUCAGAGCAGCUGUAUGUACAUACAAUAUAUUAUAUUCUUAGCAUAGCACAAUAUUAGCAUUAUAUAUAUUGAACUAUACCACUAUACUGUAAUAUUAUAUGUAAUACAUAUAAUAUAAUUAAUAUUAUUAUAUGGUAUUAUUAGUAUUAUAUUGUAUAACAUUAUAAUAUUAUUAUCAAUAUUAUAUGUAUAUACAAUAUUUUAUAUUAUUUAAAAUGAUAUAAAAAUAUUAUAUUAUAAAACUAAGGGUGGGGGCCAGGUAAAUGACCUUGGAGGGCCGCAUCCGGCCCCCGGGCCUUAGUUUGGGGACCCCUGCUCUACUGUAUUGAAAACAUUGACUACAAAAAUGGCUUGGAUAAUCCAGAAGCUUGGAUAAGUGAGACUCUACUGCAGGGGUCCUCAAACUUUUUAAGCCGCGGGCCGGUCUACAAUCCUUCAGACUGUUGAGGGGCCGGAUUAUCAUUUGAAAAAAAUACAAACAAAUUCCGAUGCACACUGCAUAUGUCUUAUUUGUAGUGCAAAAACAACAACAACAACAACAACAACAAUGAAAGAACAAUACAAUAUUUAAAAAUAAAAACAAUUUUAACCAACAUACAUUUAUCAGGAUUUCAAUGGGAAGUGUGGUCCUGCUUCUGGCCAAUGAGAUAGUCAAGUUAAUUAGGGUUGUUGUUGUUGUUGUUGUUGUUGUUGUUGUUGUUGUUGUGUGCCCUUCAAGUCAUUC
rnacentral:lncRNA from 1 species